rnacentral:rRNA from 1 species
ACGCUCGACACCUACAGGAGGCAGCAGUGGGGAAUAUUGCACAAUGGGGGAAACCCGUGAUGCAGCGACGCCGCGUGAGUGAAGAAGUAUUUCGGUAUGUAAAGCUCUAUCAGCAGGGAAGAAGAUGACGGUACCUGAGUAAGAAGCCCCGGCUAACUACGUGCCACAGCCGCGGUAAUCUGAGCGGGCUGGCAAGGC